ensembl:lncRNA
UCUCUAUAAUGUACAUACUUGUUGACUUAGUGGGAUAGUCUUCUGUGUUUUGCAGGAGGCUUUGUGUAUUAUUCUGCUGUAAUGAUGGGAUUUUAGCAGUGCUUAUUCUACUCAGGGGCUCAUAACAUUCACUCUUCAUCAACUACUCCCCAGAGUUGUUAAUGUGGGUAAAUAGGCAAUGAAGUAAAAUUUACCCUUAGCACCUCCCACCUACUGCACCACAGGCAGAAAAGUGGUUAAAUGAAUGGUCAGGCUGCCUGUAUGCCAUCCUCGAGCUCCAGGUGGACUUUUAGAGCACCUUCCUGGCAAAAGCAUGCCCCUGCCUAACAGCAACCAAAUGCUCGAAUACGACAAAGCUCAACCUGCCUAGCAAAGUGCAGCUCUGCUACUUGAACAUCAGUUCUUGCUGCCCUGACCAUUCUUGGUAUGACAGCGGUGUCCCACUCCUGCUCCCAAGGGCUGGCAGAUGAAGGAAGGGCAUCUGCCCGAGGCAUUGAAAGCUCCUUCUCUUGUAACCGUAUUGACAGAAAGAAAAACAUGUCCUUCACCUUGACAUCUGGUCCCAGGUCACCAGGAGUACAUGUGUAGGCAGAGAGCAGCCACCACUCCCUGGGAUGGAGAGAUUGCAGCCCUCCGACCUUUAACAUCAUGCCAGGACACUGUUUUACUUGCCUGGUGGUUGCACAGCUUGCCAACCCUGUUUCGGGAUGUAUACAAGGGUAACUGGAAGGUGGGAUUUUAUCUUGAGGAGGCUCAAUAAGGUGUAAAGUAGGCAGAAAUGUUGCCAUGAUAGUAUUAUGUGACUGAGACCCCACCACCCUGUGACAUCAGGGUCUGACUACUCCUAUCAGGCCACCAGCUGCUUUCUAAUGGGUCUUACUAAAGGAGGCUGUAUUUUAAUUCAGACCAACACCUACCACAAAAGAUCAGAAGACUUCUUUUUUUUUCUACGCCCUUUUCAUAUUCAUUACAUCCGUUCCUUUUCUGCCCUUUAAUCCGUAAUAGCUGUGGACAGCGGGAGAACCAGUAACUGCCUGGAACGUGACUGAUGGAGAACGGAAAGAGUAUAGACCAAAAAAAAAAAAAGGAAGGAAGGAAGGAAGAAAAUGCGUUUGUGUGAUGGUUGUGCCGCGAUGUUGCCCAUUUAUCUGUCCUCAUCUGCAUAACUCAACCUCUUCAAGCUAAAAUUUCCCCUCAGUAAUGUGCUAGGAUCAACACAACCAUCCAUGCUAAGAGGAAAGAGUGGUGCUCAUACUUCCUGGAGUUAAUUGGAGAUAAAGGGUGUGUGGAUGCUUUCACGGGGCCAGUGGCAAAAUAGAGACUGGUUUUGUGGUGAGUUGUUUCCACAGUUCUAUUUCGAGAAAGAAAUGUCACCUCAAAAACUAAAUCCAACUGAAUACUUUUCCCAUCUCCCUUCUGCAGCUUUCCCAAAUAUAUGUGAAGAUGACAGAAGCACCUCCUUUGCAAAGCCUUACACUUUCUGAAACAUGUCUUGUUUUGUUUCUGUAGCCAGCAGGAUGCCUUAGGCCCAGCAACAAAGAGCAGUUACGUGAUCUUACAUAGCAAAGUUAUCCAUUGCCAAGUAUGUGAUUCAAGCACAGUCUGUUGAACUUUGUGUUAUACUGCCGUACUUCAGUGCUUAGGAUCAGAUCUGGAUUAGCUUUUACUAAUGAUUGCAGUUCCCUUUGAUACAAUAUUGCUGCUGAAGAUACAGGGUUUUUAAGUGAUCAUUUCCCUUAUAAAUUAGGGGAAGGACACGACUGAUCAGACUACCUGGAAUACCGCUUUAUUUUCAAAUCCUGAGUUGUUUCUUUCAUCUUCUGAUUCAGUAACUCAUGCCUGUUCUUCCUAUUCCAAAUGCCCUGUCUGGAAGAGGGUGUUCUGCUCCUUCUCAUUUUUAUUAAUUAACCCCAUGAUAAGUAUGGGGCUUAUAUUUAUGGAUACCAAUGUACAUUUUUUAUGGGUAUGUCUAUAUUUUGCCUUUUCAAAUUGGUUAUGAUACAUAAUAAAUUGGCAGCUAAAUUUAACUGGUUACCAAAGAGUAAAACUGCUGAUAAUUUGACACCAUCCCAUUUAAUAUUAAAUACAAUAGUUCUUUGCUUUUGUACAGCUAUUGAUUUCUCCUAUUUAAGGUAUACACACAUAUAUUUCAACUGCAGCUCUCUGGCUUUUUACCCUGUGGGGUUUGAUUUUUUUACACCUCAUAGUAUAUUUGAAGCUGCACUUCUUGUAUCUUCAGGACUGUAUACCUCUACACAGUGAAAAUCCCACGUCAUCAACUCAAAUGGAUUGGUGAGCUCUGCAGCUGUAGGGCAGCGCUUCUCAACAGAAAAAUAAAAGGGGGAGAGGAGGGGAAGCAUUUUCAAUUAAUUUCGUCUCCUAACAUUCCAACGAAGGAUCAGUCUGUCUGCAUGUGACAGAUUGAAACAGCCUGAGCAGUGGAAGGAUGGAGCUGGCUUCUUCAUAGAAAUACUCACCGAGGUUCAGCAUCAAGCUGAAAUGCCCUGAGCCUUUCCCGAGCAUACUAAUGUGCCUCUGAUAAUUCUGCGUGCUGUAAGCUCUCUGCAGCCUUGAAAAGAAAGGUAUGGAGAUUAAAAAAGAAGAAGAGAGGAAGAAGAAGAAGCACUUGUGUGUGAGUGACUGCGUCUGAAAAGUCUCCAAUUUAGUGAUUUCAAAAAGGACUCUGAAGGACGGUGGAAGCGUGGAAAGUCUCAUGAUGGCAUCUCAAAGUAUCCUUCCUUUGCCCAGCUCUGCACUCCGUGUUUGGUUGAAUCAAUGGGAGAGGGAGGGCGGGUUGGGUGGCCGGAGAAAAUCUGUGAAUUCCCAUCACAGAUUUGCUGUAAAGGUGAAAGUAUUGCAGCCUCUUGGGAAUUGGAUGCUAGCAGAUUGAGGAGGGCAUCCUGAAACAGCAAGCUAUUUAUUUUUUUCCACCAAAAUGAGAGCAAGGAAAAUCAAGUAAGGAAACAAAUUACCUCACAGAAACUGUUCAAAUGUAGCACUCAGGAAACGAGCUCAGGACAUGGAUGUCCUGCAGUGACAGCAGCACUCCAGGAGAAGAGCACGGUGACAGGAGCAUAGCAUAGCAGUGCAUUCUGCUGACCAGAACUCUUAAGCUGUCUGUGUAGAACAGUUGUGUGUGUGUAUCCAUACUCAUAUAGGUAAGGAUAAUGGAUAUACAUGGCUACAUGUGGUGACGUAUGAAGACAUAUAUAUGUGCACAGUAGCCUGAUGGAAUAGGUUAUAUGGUUUUCAGCUUCUUUUCUCCUCCUAGGCCCUUCCAUGCAGGGUGCUUCAGUUUACCAGUGUUAGUCCUCAUGAAUUUAAACAGUCUGCUGAAGCUCUUUUCUGAUCGCUGACCUCCAAGAAGCAGGAAAGGACUCAAUCCUAUCCCGAAGGCGAAGGGGAAAAUAUUUCAGCACCGCAUCAUUCUGCCGUAAUUGAGGCUGCAUUCUGGAACGGCUCAUUUAGAGUCGGAUGCGCUUCUUAUCUGAAUAAACCCAGGGACUAUAUUUGAAUAAAG